GGAUUUGAGGACAAACUGGUUGCGACAUCUGUCACCCUGUUGAUUGCCAGCGCUGAUUCCUCUGACCUGCCUGACUAGGCGGUGUCCCCUUCCUCCCUCACCGCUCCGUGCGCACCCAAGCUGUGUGCACUCAGUAGAAGAGGAUCCCAUUCACCAAACAGAGACUGACCUGUCUUUGGUCAAGGGUAUGUGAGUACCUGCGCUCCUCUGUUAGAAGCUCCAAACAAGCUCUCAAGGUCCACUUGUAGGAGAACAUAGGGUAGUCAAGUUUCCAAGACUCCAGACACAUCCAAAUGAGGUGCUGCAUGUGGCAGUCUGCCUUUCUUC
ensembl:misc_RNA 7SK 7SK RNA